rnacentral:rRNA from 1 species
CCUACGGGAGACAGCAGUGAGGAAUAUUGGUCAAUGGACGAGAGUCUGAACCAGCCAAGUAGCGUGAAGGAUGACUGCCCUAUGGGUUGUAAACUUCUUUUAUAUGGGAAUAAAAUGUUCCACGUGUGGGAUUUUGUAUGUACCAUAUGAAUAAGGAUCGGCUAAAUCCGUGCCAGCAGCCGCGGUAAUACGGAGGAUCCGAGCGUUAUCCGGAUUUAUUGGGUUUAAAGGGAGCGUAGGUGGAUUGUUAAGUCAGUUGCGAAAGUUUGCGGCUCAACCGUAAAAUUGCAGUUGAAACUGGCAUUCUUGAGUACAGUAGAGGUGGGCGGAAUUCUGGGUGUAGCGGUGAAAUGCUUAGAUAUCACGAAGAACUCCGAUUGCGAAGGCAGCUCACUGGACUGCAACUGACACUGAGGCUCGAAAGUGUGGGUAUCAAACAGGAUUAGAUACCCGGGUAGUC